rnacentral:rRNA from 1 species
GACGGGUGAGUAACACGUGGGUAACCUGCCCUCCUUUGGGGGAUAACAUUUGGAAACAGAUGCUAAUACCGCAUAGAUCCAAGAACCGCAUGGUUCUUGGCUGAAAGAUGGCCUAAGCUAUCGCUUUUGGAUGGACCCGCGGCGUAUUAGCUAGUUGGUGAGGUAAUGGCUCACCAAGGCGAUGAUACGUAGCCGAACUGAGAGGUUGAUCGGCCACAUUGGGACUGAGACACGGCCCAAACUCCUACGGGAGGCAGCAGUAGGGAAUCUUCCACAAUGGACGCAAGUCUGAUGGAGCAACGCCGCGUGAGUGAAGAAGGCUUUCGGGUCGUAAAACUCUGUUGUUGGAGAAGAAUGGUCGGCAGAGUAACUGUUGUCGGCGUGACGGUAUCCAACCAGAAAGCCACGGCUAACUACGUGCCAGCAGCCGCGGUAAUACGUAGGUGGCAAGCGUUAUCCGGAUUUAUUGGGCGUAAAGCGAGCGCAGGCGGUUUUUUAAGUCUGAUGUGAAAGCCCUCGGCUUAACCGAGGAAGCGCAUCGGAAACUGGGAAACUUGAGUGCAGAAGAGGACAGUGGAACUCCAUGUGUAGCGGUGAAAUGCGUAGAUAUAUGGAAGAACACCAGUGGCGAAGGCGGCUGUCUGGUCUGUAACUGACGCUGAGGCUCGAAAGCAUGGGUAGCGAACAGGAUUAGAUACCCUGGUAGUCCAUGCCGUAAACGAUGAAUGCUAGGUGUUG